GUCUGAUUCAUGUCUUGAUAAGAAUGGUAAAAUGAUUAAAGAAUUUACUUAUGUUGAGAGACCUAUUCAUAGACUAAUUAUGUUAUUAGAAUAUAAGGUUUAUUUGAGUUAACUUAAUGUACUUUAUAUCCAGGGAAGUCCCCGCCAAAGAGCUUUAUUUUAUUUGUGAUACCUCAGAAGAUUAAUGUUUUAUUUUUGUAUUUACUUUCAAGAAAGAAGGUUUUAUAAAGAAAAUAGUUUUAAGGUAGUAUAAUGUUAAUUGUAAAUUGUAAACAAUUUAGGGGAGCCAUGUAAGUGUAGUAGCCCAAUUAAGAAAGUAAAGAUGAAUGAAAAUGUUUUAAAUGACUAUAUUUCAAAGUCGAAUACAUAGACGGGUAUUGGAACGUGGUUGUUUACUUCAACGGCAGCUGUGGUCGCCUAACAGCACCAGGCCCUAUUGUAGGGGUUUGGAGUUUUACGUAUGAGUACGGACAUGGAAGAUGAGGAUGAAUAUGUGGAAAUUGUAUUUCAUCAGUUAUGGAGAAUAAAGGAAGAAGCAACAA